rnacentral:rRNA from 1 species
AACGAACGCUGGCGGCAUGCCUAACACAUGCAAGUCGAACGAUCCCUUCGGGGAUAGUGGCGCACGGGUGCGUAACGCGUGGGAACCUGCCCUUAGGUUCGGAAUAACUCAAAGAAAUUUGAGCUAAUACCGGAUAAUGUCUUCGGACCAAAGAUUUAUCGCCUUUGGAUGGGCCCGCGUUGGAUUAGCUAGUUGGUGGGGUAAAGGCCUACCAAGGCGACGAUCCAUAGCUGGUCUGAGAGGAUGAUCAGCCACACUGGGACUGAGACACGGCCCAGACUCCUACGGGAGGCAGCAGUGGGGAAUAUUGGACAAUGGGCGAAAGCCUGAUCCAGCAAUGCCGCGUGAGUGAUGAAGGCCUUAGGGUUGUAAAGCUCUUUUACCCGGGAUGAUAAUGACAGUACCGGGAGAAUAAGCCCCGGCUAACUCCGUG